AAGACCUUGCACUUUUGGAGCGGCCGAUGUCUGAUUAGCUAGUUGGUGGGGUAAUGGCCUACCAAAGCUUCGAUCAGUAGCUGGUCUGAGAGGACGGCCAGUCACACUGGGACUGAGACACGGCCCAGACUCCUACGGGAGGCAGCAGUGGGGAAUUUUGGACAAUGGGCGCAAGCCUGAUCCAGCCAUGCCGCGUGAGUGAAGAAGGCCUUCGGGUUGUAAAGCUCUUUCAGCCGGGAAGAAAAGGCUGCGACUAAUAAUCGUAGUUCAUGACGGUACCGGAAGAAGAAGCACCGGCUAACUACGUGCCAGCAGCCGCGGUAAUACGUAGGGUGCGAGCGUUAAUCGGAAUUACUGGGCGUAAAGGGUGCGCAGGCGGUUUUGUAAGUCAGAUGUGAAAUCCCCGGGCUUAACCUGGGAACU
rnacentral:rRNA from 1 species